rnacentral:rRNA from 1 species
UACGUAGGUGGCAAGCGUUGUCCGGAUUUAUUGGGUUUAAAGGGUGCGUAGGCGGCUUUGUAAGUCAGUGGUGAAAUAUGGCAGCUCAACUGUCAAGGUGCCAUUGAUACUGCGGAGCUUGAGUACAGAUGAGGUAGGCGGAAUUGACGGUGUAGCGGUGAAAUGCUUAGAUAUCCGUCAAAGAACCACCCUAUAGCGAAGGCAGCUUACUAGGCUGUAACUGACGCUGAGGCACGAAAGUGUGGGGAUCAAACAGG